rnacentral:misc_RNA from 1 species
AAGUCGUAACAAGGUCUCCGUUGGUGAACCAGCGGAGGGAUCCUCACAUAGCAAACGCUUUGUAUACCAAUAUUCAAACUCAACGCGAACUGUAACGUCCCUACCAUAUUGGUGGAUCGUGAGUGCUUGCACUUGCGUGAAACCAGCAUAGUAGACAAUACCCCCAGAGUCUUUCAUAUCAAAGAUUUCUUUGAUAUGUCGGCUCGUUUUAUUCACCAAUUUUAACCUAUAAUGAAUGAAUUGUCUUAUCUUUAACUUCAUAUCGAGAGACUUCGGUUUCUUGUUUGAAUUUACGAAAUAAUGAACAACUCUUAGUAAUGGAUAUCUUGGGUCAA